AUACGUAGGUCGCAAGCGUUAUCCGGAAUUAUUGGGCGUAAAGCGAGUCUAGGCGGCUUGUUAAGUCAGAUGUGAAAAUGCGGGGCUCAACUCCGUAUUGCGUUUGAAACUGGCAGGCUAGAGUACUGGAGAGGUGGGCGGAACUACAAGUGUAGAGGUGAAAUUCGUAGAUAUUUGUAGGAAUGCCGAUAGUGAAGACAGCUCACUGGACAGAUACUGACGCUAAAGCUCGAAAGCGUGGGGAGCGAACAGGAUUAGAAACCCCGGUAGUCC
rnacentral:rRNA from 1 species